UGUAGGGGGAUGGAGCCACACCCAAAGAAGUUAGUUAAGAUUUUCUGUGCUGUGACAAAACCCAGGGCGUUCCUGUCAGGUCUGUUGUAAAUGGUGAGGCUCAGGGGUGGCCUGGGCUGUGCAGAGCAGCAGCUGCAGGGCUCUAAGGUAAAGCCAUGGUGCUGUCACUGAGAUCCUAAGCUGGAUCCCAGAUUUCCCAUCCAGGAGUCCUGCUGGAGCUCCUGAAGCUACAUUUGAAAGAAAAAAAGGUUGCUAAAUGUCAUCUACUAAAAACACCCGAACACAAAACCACUCACUCCAGUGGGACAGGUACCAUUGCAUUGUGCCUUUCUUAUGCAGUGCAGCCUUGGGUGCUGACAGCGCACCCACCCACCACACAACAGCCCAAAAGUCAGCUACAUUUUUUGGUUAAUAAAUGGUACUCACUAAGGUGGUACCCAAACUACUUGCUGGCUCUUAAGAAAUAAUUCAUAAAAUGUGUAGUUGUGAUACAGAACAUGGGGUUCGCAGGUGUCACCUGCCAGGCACGGUGAGCCUGAUGGGUCUGUGACCUGCAAAGCUGUAGCUAUGGACACUGUACCCAUCCCCUUCACACCUGGCUACUGGAAAUGGCUGCUUUUCACCUUCCAGUCCAAAAGCAACCAGAAACCCCUCACCUCUUACCCCAAGAUUUCUCUUACUGCUCUCCAAUGCCUACCUCCCCGUCUGUGAAUCACAAGCGGGAUAACCCUGGGUGCCGAUGCACCCUGAGGUGCAGGUGCACUCACGCCCUGGUGGUGCCAUUUCCCUGGCACAAAAGGGCUGGGAGCUGUGAGCCCAACUGCACUUUAAAGAGUUAAAGCCAAGUGCUCAUCCCCUGAUGGUCAGUGUGGGCAGCAGGGAGAAGGUAGGUACCAGGCUGGACAUUUUAACUGAGCUAAGUCAGUCUCUAGCAUUUUAAUCACAACUUUUCCUUUCAUAUCCAAUAUUCCAACACAGCAAACACCCUGCAGGCAUCACCCAUCUCUUAGGAGGCUGCACUAAGCAGGAAGGUGUAAUUGAAAUGCGAGGGAAACAUAUAAAGCUGGAAUCUAACCAUGUAAAAGUGGGGUACCUGCCAGGUUUGCACAGGGCACCGGGACCCUCAGCCAUCCCAGAGUGACCCCAUCCAGGCACAUGUCUGUCAGCGCACGCCACUAACCUGCUGUUUGCCCACUUUCAUCCCCCACUCACACCUUUCUCAUGUCCCAGCCCAGCCGGCCACAAUUCCCAGCACCUGAUGGGAAAUCCCACAAACGAGAUUGCUCUGGUCUGUGUUUGUGAACAUCAGUUUGAAACCAAAAACUGAGAUUGUUGAUAUUUCCAAACACACAAAAGCGCAAACAUUCCAUACUGAAUUCACACUGUUUGACAGUGGUUUUGUGCAAUCGCCUCAUAUCAAAGGCUGUUGAAAACUACACUGAACUACCUUACAGCUCAUUUGGAAAGCACUUGUUAGAAUACUGAUCAUUUUCAGCAUCAGUGCAGCUUUGCACUGUGCUUGGAUCCGAGUCACUGUGGGGAAAGCAUUAGUUUAUGGACACAAACCAGUUUUCCCAUUUAUUUUUUGAGGAGCAGUGAAGGAAACAGUUUAUUUUCCUGCAGGCAAAAGCUCAGUGGGACAAAAUGAAGUUCUUGUAAUGAAACAAUGCAACUUAAUUAAAUAUUUAAUAAAGAAUUAUAGAAGCUACGGCUUUUUAUACUUCAAAUAUAUUUUUGUCUAACCGAAGCUUGGUUUGGUUUUGUUAAACACACAAAUUCCCUCACGGUGACAGCUUGCAGGGAGGCUUCCCCAGCCAGGGCUGUGCCUGGGGGGGUGUGGGUGCAGCAACAUCUUUACCCGGUUUAUCCGUAAGCAAUUAAACACCCCAUGCACAUACCUCAGCUGCCGUAAAAGCAGUUCCCAGACUUUCUCAGUGAUCCUCACUGCAAUCGUAACCAGUAAUGUGUGCUCCAAAGAGAAGCUUGGAGCGGGGCUGGUGCACAGCCCAGACCCCUCAGUCUCUAAGGAUUCAUGAGUUCACACAAGGGCGGCGAUUACGCAGCACUGAGCAGCGUCACUAGAGAGCACACAGGACCCGCACCUCCCUGCCAGCUCUGCUCUAUCACCCUUUCCAACACAGGAGGCUUCACCAGUUUCUGCUCUGCCAUGGCCCAGCUCAGCUGUCACCAAAGCUGCACGCACAAACCCUUCCUGGUUUGCCAUUCCCAAAGUCCCUGUGAACAUCCUAUCACCUUUACUGCACAUUUCCUAUGUUUGCAGCAGAAUUGUCUGCAGCCCAGGUACUGUACGUGCUGCAAACACAUACCCUGCUUGCAACAAACUCAAUGUUGAGGUUAACAAUGCAAGUCAGCGUCUUGGUAAAUUUGGUUUGCAGUGUCACAAUUCCAGUGUUGCAGUGCCAACAGCAGCAGCAGUGUUAUCUUUGCACUGUCAAGUGACAAACUGUAAUGCUGAAGCCCCUUACGACACAAGUUUAACACCACACAAAGCACACCAACACACACAUCCCCAGCGAUACCUGCAGGGGUGUUAAUGCCAGGGCACAGUUAGAGCCGGUAGAUUUCCAAAACAUAAGAAAACCCCAACAACAGAGCAAUCCCAUUCAUGUUUCUAAGUGGCGAUGAAAAACAGAGUGGCCAGGUAGUGUUCUAAGCUGUUAGAGACUGCACAAGCCCUUGCUGUGUGCACCUGGCUAGUAGAGCUUUGCUACCCUUGGGAAACAGCAAACCAACCCACCAAAAGCUGAGGCAUUCAAAUCCUGAAUCAGUCCCGUAUCCCAGCACCACUCUCUAGCGCCCGCAGGAGACGCUGCCGUAGCUGUACUGAAGUCACUAACCCCUAUUGCCUGCCCUGAAACUCGCCCGCUUCCUACCCUGACCGUCCCUACUCCUGACAAAGGGAAAAUCCAUCACUAUCCAAAAUCAUUUCCCUGCUUUCAGCUUGCUGUCAUUAAUAACCACCACCACAAACGUCCAGCUGGACAAGUAUCUGUGUUACAGAUUCUGCCCAGUGUGAGUAGGGCAAAUGGCAGUGCUUCCAGCAAACACUUCCCAACAUGAAUAGUGCAGCUCAGGGACUGCUGCGGUGGUGACAGCUUGGUCUGGCACAUAAAUGGCUGUGCAAUUCAUAGGUUGUGCCUGGCGUCACAGGAAAUUGAUAGACACAGCUGCUUGAGCACAGCACCUGGGGUCAUUUUCAGUGUGAGGGAGCAUCUCCCUUUGUUUUGAACCUGAUGCCUCCUAACCUGAAUGAUUCUGAGAUAGAAAAGGCCUUUAAGAUCAUUGAGUCGAGCCAUAAACACAGCACUGCUAAUUUCACCCCCAAACCCUGUCCCCAACAACCACACCCACACAGCUUCACAUUUAUCCUCGUAUUCCUCCAACACCCCUACUUUCUCAGUGUGCAAAGUCCAAGCUUUCCUCCACUUGCCAGUUUCCAAUCCGGCUGGCUGUCCCAGCAACACUUCUACAAACACAUGCGUGUCCACUCUGGCUCCUGCACCCACCUCUGCCUCACACAACCUCUCUCAAAUGAGGGCUGACUGCAGUCCCAUGGCAAGAAAGCCUGAUGGGAACAGCCCUCGGAGCCAGUUCGCAUGGGAACCAGUCCUAGAGGUGGUUUUGGACCAGUCAAGGGAGAUGAAGCCAACAAGAAGUGCUGCCGUACUUAUGUCACUGGUGACAACCUGAACAGCACAUCCAUCACCUCCGCAGGCUGGCAAAGAGCUUCUGCUAACGUGCAGAACUGUCUUCUGCAAAGCUGGUGCACAAACAGCUCCCUGGGGGUACCUGGAUAAAGGACACAGGGGUGCCAAAGCCUGCAAUCAGGCACCUGCUGCCACAUCAGCUCGGUGUGCGUUAGGCUUGGCAAUGCGUCAGCUGCUCCAGCGAACAGCAGGGCAGAGGGGCCUGGCAGCCAGGACACGCGAACGCCUGAAAAUUCAUUAUGGCUAUUAGGACAUUAAUUAGGCAGAGAUAACACAGUACAGCAACUGAGCAUGUGAGAAUUACCAUCAUUGUUGGAGACUCAGUUCUAACUAUAUUUAAUGACUACUGAGGCCUUGAAAACCUAUUGGCACUCACAAAAGGAUGAAAUGCCUUGGAAAAAAAACCUGGCUCCUACCUGCUUCUCAGAGCCAGCCUCCCCUUUGCCUCAGUAGCCGUCAGGGGCUGAGGUCCAUCCAGCUGAGCUCCAUGCUUUUCUUUCACUCCAAGGCUGGCUCCACCUAAACCCUGCUAUCAUUUACAGCCCUGCAUAAUGUCCAAACAGCUCCAGUGCAAUAAGAAAUCAUCUCUUGAUCAUCACCAUUGAUUAUUUUCAUCAGAUUCUGAUUGAGAGCCUUGUUCAAAUUUGAUUUAUUCAUGCUUAAAUGCGUCUGCUCUUUUCACCUGCUUAUCUGCUGCUGAUGUUGUGAGCGUCUCAGCACCCUGGCUGAUCAGACCCUUAAAGUGCAAUCCAAUGUAAACUUAAAGAUUAUUCAUUACAAAUGCACAAACCUAUUUGUGUCUCAACCUCAUUAAAACAAGUUUUGAGGGUACAUUCCCGCGCACUCUCCUCUCUCUGGUAACUCUCCCUGGCACUCCUCAGUGCCGUGCAGCCACUUUCCAAUCCAGGCCUGCAGCUCUUUUUCCAAUUCAAAUACAGUCAAAUUCAAGUGUUCUAAAGAUUUGCCACCAUGUUUUUACCAAUAACUGAGAACUGGGUGGGCUUUGAAGGUCCUUUCCAACCCAAACCAUUCAAUGAUUCUAUGACUUGCACACACUGAGUUUCAUCUCGAGGAACACUGAAUGCUCUCAGGUAACGCCACCCUCAGCUGUAGAGUAUAUUUGCACAGCAGAGUGAGCAGCAACCACUGGGGUGGCAAAGUGACUGACUGGAGUGGCAAAGUCACAGCAGCGCAUGCAAGGACAGGCACACAGCAUUUGUACUCUGGUUUCUGGUUUUUAAUGUCUGGUCUCAUCAGCGUAAGCCAGCACAGAUGCAGUUGCUCAACUUUUUUUUGCUGCCUACAUGCAGAAACAGAUGGGCCAAACCUGAGGUGUGGGCUUGUUUUGCUCACUUGGACUAAUUCCUUGUCCAUUUUGCCCCCUUCUCGGGCUUAGUAUGUGCUGCUCUGACGAUGGCUCUGUACAAAUCUCUGUGCCACAGAGCUUUUCUGCGAGGGCUUCAGAGGUUGUCUCCAUGUUGCAGUAAAGCUCAGUUUUCAUCCUACAGACCUCUGUCACUACUGGAUUAGCCAGAGUACACGACCUCCCCCUGAAAUCAGUUUUAAACAGCUAAACUUUGAACCUUAACCUAAGGUUAAACAGUAACAGAGAUGGGUGCUGGAUCAAUGCUUGGCAAACAUCAGUCACACGCAGUGGGCAGACACUGCUCUGCUGCUCUCUGGACGCUGAUGCAGGACAUCUCUCUAGUGUUCUGUGUAAAGAAACCCUUAACAAGAACCACUAACUACUUUGAAGCCGCCAGAGGUUAAGGUUUCGUGCAAGCCUAGGCGUUUCCUUCCUCUGCAGUCCAUCCAGAGCACAGGGAAUUGAGGGCUACUUGUUCCCACAACUGACAAUGCUUUCCCUCCCGUCCUGGUAACUCCCUCUGUUCCAGCACUUCGCCUCUACAAACAACAGCCUUUACGAAGCUUUAGGCAGUUCUUCUUCCUAAUCAGGCCUGCAGGCAGUUCAGUGUCUCUGAUUAUUUAAUAACAGUGCAAAUAGACAUUGUGAUUGCAUGUUAUCUACAUGGCUUGUUACAACACGCAUCUCAGACCGAAGAUUUCCCAAUAAAGCCCCUGCAUUUUAAAAAAAGAAUAAAUAGGAGCAUGCAGACCAAAUCAUUAAUUCUUUUUGCUCCUUUUAUAAAGGGCUCUGUUAUUUGAUAGCAAGAGAGGAAACUUCUCCCGGUUGCUCCUUUCUGCCUUUUAUUUGUAACAACAGCAUCAACUCUAAUACAAGGGAUUCCAAGCACCCAAUAUUCAGGAAUAAAACCCUUUACAGUGAACUGUCACCAGCACUGUUCCUCAUUCUGUGCCUUUUAGAACACAAAAAACUUAAUCAGGAGUUAAACAUAGAGACACAUGGGAAAGAGAGCCAGCACCAGUUCUUCUGAACCAGAAUUAUAAUCUGCCCCAAUGUGAAUUCCUGGAAGCUAGGCUUUGCUUCACCUCUGGCUUUGAUUAAAAACAAAUGAAAGAUCAGCCCUGUUUUCUGUGGAGACCCCUUCCCCUCAGAAUUUUUGACAGCUGCUUUUGUAUCUUCAAUGUAGGAGCUAGGAAACUCAGACCAGACCCAGUCCCAGAACCUCUGGCCUCUGAUACUUUUACAGAGCACAGCAAAUCCUGAAAUACGGUCUGGCGAUACAUACCCAACAUAUACUGCCAAUUGAUCAUGAACACCUAAAGGUUUGUGAAAAACACCUGAAGGUAUCUCAAUUUCUGCUUAUUCUCACUACAAAGUUAUUACUUGUUGUGUGGCACAGCCUAAGAGCAUUCAUACAAGGAGCUCAGUAUUUUGCUUUCCUCUUUCUGGUGAUAAAAGCAGCGUUUCCACCACUGUAGCUGCAGGGAGCAGUCAGCACAGAGUCAGGCUUGGCUCUGAGCAGCACUGACAGGAGCAUUCCUUCCAGCUUCACUGCCAAGAUUCCUUUCCUUAACAUUACCCUAUCCAGCUUUCACUUAGCUCUGCAAGAACAGAAAGGGGUGAAGAAACUGUGCUACAUCCACUCCUGAGCUGCUUUUAGGUCUUGCUCCCUGUCUGCCCACGCUGCAUCCCUCCUUCUCUGGCUCCUUUAUCGCCAGGACAAAUAACUGCCAGACCCAAGCCCAUCACCAGUAUCUGAAAUCCCAGAGAAAAAGAACAGGCAGAAGCAAUUCAAAGCACUUCAGGGGGCACUUACAAUAAUUCACCACUGCUUAGCAAUGACAGGUUCUUAGAUUUUGUCUUCUGUGCCAGUUCGACCUACAGCAACUCCUACGGAAACACUUCUGGUACGGACCCAGGCAUCUUUUGCCCAGAACCAGGCAACCUAGGACAGCACUGUGGUGGGAAAGAGGUCAGGCUGGAUGGCGGGGACGAGCAGCAGCCCACACCGGGAGUUAACAGCCCUCAGGGGAGUUAAGAGGCACCUCCGAACCCACUGCAUGCACAAAUGGGGCUACCCAAGAACAUCCACAACGCUUUUACCACCUCUAACAACAACAGAGCACCAGCACUGGUGGUGUUUAACAGAGAGAGCAGAGAGGCAUCUGACUGUCACAGCGACACUAAGUUAAUCUGCAGGAAGAGUUGUCAUCAAGCCUUUCUGUUACUGAUUAAAAACACCUCUUUUCUCUUUGUGCCCUAAGGCAAAUGUAUGCGCACACACAUAUAUAUACGCUUUUAUCUGUGCCUCAGCAGUGUUUAAACAGCUUUGUUUGAGCACACGUUCAUACCCUGAAGGACAGGAGUCCAACGACCAGUUCGUCCGUUCAGCUGCGCACCUUCCGAGUAGCUUGUUUGUUCCUGGCUAUCGGUUCCUACUGGCAGACCAACACAGUGGGCGGGAAGGCAACCCCACCCAAAACCCUCCAGCCAGGGAUUCACCAAACUCUUUCACACCAUGAGAUGUGAAUUAGAUUCUAACACACACGGAAAAGCCCACCACAGAUCCUCGAGAAACUCCUAGAGGAAAGCCUAGCAGCUGCCCUCUCCCCUUAAUCUUCUCUCCUAUGGCUGGAUGUUUGGUGGGACGAAGACUUCUCUUUUCGCCCUGUCAGGAGUACCAAAAGCCCCACAUAAGGCAGAUUUCCCUUCCCUGUGUGCCAUGGCAUCCUUCACAUUUGGGCUGCAUCAUUUUUUCCAUACAAAAGCACUCCAACUCUUUCCCACAUUUUGUCACACAUUUUGUUUCCCCAUUAACUUCUACACUUUCCUGUCAUCUGUCAGACAGCACUUAAGGUCCAGGACGCGCAUUCAUGCAGUACAGGCUGAAGAAUGCCUUUAAAUCUAAAUCAUCACUCCACUAGCUUCUAUAGACCAGUUAAAAUGAUCAUGCAUGGAACACAAGGUCCUUUGGAUUGGUAAAUCUGUCCUUAAAAUAGCUGAAUUAAAAGAAACAAAUUUUUAUUAAAGACAACCCAAUACGCAUCACUUCAAUCAGAGAACUCAAAUAAGUGCUACCUGGUACCUCUCACAGGGCUGUGCCCAACCUCUUCCUGUUCUCCUCACACUCCCAACCGUAGCACCUAAAAGCGGAUAAAAAAACCCAAACGCUCAAAACUUUAUGCAAAUCAAAGCAUAAUUUUAAAUAGCACGUAAAAAGCAAUAUUUUUAUUUCAAACUGCACUAUUUAUGCCAGCUCUCAAGAACUAAAUAAAAAUGCAGUUCCAAAUUAAACAGAAACCUUCCUAGGUUUGAAUUUCACUGGGGUCGAAGCGCUUUAUCAGUGAUGCGUUUCAGAAAGCCUUUCUUUGCAGAAAGCCUCGCUCCCUGGGGCAGAGGUGAUCUAGCCAGCUCUCGCCAGCCUGUGGCUGACUUGGAGAGAACCGUAUCCCACACUCCUCACCAAGAGAGCCAUUCAUCUUCGUGUGUUGCCCAUAAUCCAUACAGUAACGGACUUGCAAAUGCACACACCGGAUAAAAUCCAGCCCUACGGAAAUCAUCAGGAACUCUUCUGCUGGUGGUGCUGCCAUAGAUGUUCCCCGGAGCAGUCACCCACUUCCAUAACACCCAAGCUCACAACUGAUCACAAUUCCCUCCAUGCGCUCUGCUGCAGCGCGGCAGGCCCCGACAAGGAGCCUCCAGUCGGUCCCUCAGUCUCUGGCACUUCCCCGCCCCAUCUCCUAAGCUCUAUUACAUCUGCUUUUCCCAAGGAACCUCUGCAAGCUGCAGCAGUGCUGAUGGGUUUGAGAAACAGGCCUGGACUGCCAAGGACAUUCUGUGUCCCCAGCCUUGAGAUUUCACAAACAGCAAACGGUGCCAGUCUGGAAGUCCUCAGUCUGUCCUGGAAAGGAGAGAUGCUGUACUCUGGACUAUCGGCAUGCAACAGAGCCUGAGAUUUAAGGAAAUUUAUAAGAGUAGCCUUUUUCCUCCUCUUAGUGUCUUUUCAGCCAUUAACUGUGAAAACACAAAUAACUCGCUUUUCAGUCAAUAUUCUUCACACUCUGAAAUAAGCCUCAAAGUAACUUCAGAAAACUGAGUGUGAUAUCCCAGCUGCUACCUCUGAUCCUCUCCUCUUAACCAGCCUCUGCCAUUUCACAUUUCUUUACCCAAAUGAUCCCAAGAUCAUCUGAUCUUACAGUGCAACUACUGCACAGUGGUCCCACUAGCUGACAGAGUGAUGCCGUUUGCUCGCUGCUUCAACAGCAACUCAGACAUGGUUAGAAGAGAGAACUAGCCCUGCCUGGAUGUUUCAGCGCUGUUCUGGCCAUAGCUCACUUUCUCGAGAUGACAUCAGCACACAAAUUCAGCACAGACAACCCCAUUUUUCCUUACUGUCGUGUACUGCAUCUCACACCACAGGACCAAGGUAGCUUGGGCACACACCUCUUAGAAAAGACUAGUUCAGUUGGAAGGGAGCUAUAGGGACCUUCCGGUCCAGCUGCUGGACCACUUCAGGGCUGAUCAAAUGUCAAACCACAUUGUUAAGGGCAGUGCCCAAAUGCCUCUCAAACCCUGACAUGCCUAGGGCUCUGCCUGCCUCUCCAGGAAGCCUCUUCCAGGGUCUGACCACCCUCUCAGGACAGAAAUGCUUCCUUGUGUUCCGUCUGAGCCUCCCCACCUCAUCUUUGAGCCAUUAGGGCCAGAGCUACACACAGACCUAAAGAUGAGGCCGGACCAAUGCUGAAUCCUGGUUAUCCUGUGUUUGACACCCCCGGAUGCGGCUUGCCCUCCUGGCUCCUGUUGAGCUGCUGCCGACCAGCAGCCCUGACCAGUUCUGCAGGGCUGCUCCCAGCCAUUCCUCUCCAAAUCCACACUUGUGCCCAGCACUACUCUGUCUCAGGUGCAGAAUCCAACACUUAAAUUUUUUCAGCUUCAUGCCAUUGAUGAUUGCCUAGAGCUCCGAUCCAUUUGGAUCCUCCUGUCCCUUAAGCCAAUAGCUCCUCCCAGUUUGGAAUCAUGGGCGAACUCACUAAGGGCAUCCAACUCCUGCAUUCAGAGCCCUGGUACAAACAGCACUGGCCCUAGAACAGAGCCUCAGGGAAUCCCUGCUGGCAAACCACAGCUCUGGAAUCCUUCUGCAAAGCCUGACCUUGCUUCCAGGGACCAUCCAAGAGGAUUCCCUGUUCAGUCAAGCCCUGCUUGCCUAAUCUCGGCACGAGGGGAUUGCCGGCUCCUGCGCAGGGUGGUUGGUAAAACCGGACCAACGCUCAUGGCCCUGACUCUCCAAAGCCGUUCCUGGGGGCGCAGCUCCCUGGGGAGCUUCAUGUGUGCUCUCUUGACAUCCAGGGCGACACCUCCGCUGAGCUUCCUUCUCACUACACCAAAACUUUAACUCUGCCAUCUCGUGACCACCGUGGCCAGGACAGCCACCCCCACCCCCUACCUUGCUCCCAAGGAAGCCUGAGCAGAAUCUUUCCCAUUUGGCUCACUGGGUGCUUGUGACAAGAAAUUAUCCUCAACAAACCUCAGUCUUUUCCCCAACACAUCUGUCACAGCAGCAUGGUACUCGUGCCUGGCCAAGUUACUCACCACUCCCAAAUUAAAAUGGGACUCAAUGUUCUACUGGCAUUUAGGAACUGUGAAACAAACUGAAUCUUGCUACACAAACCACUUAGUUUCAGAGCGCUUGCUCAUUUAACCUGGAGUUAACACAGAGCUCUGGCUUACUGCUUACAGAGGGCUGAUAAGAACUAUUAAUAUUUAACGUUCUCAAGCCCAUGUACAUGAAAUAGUUCCAGCAGGCCAUCCACAAGAACAGCACACCUUAAUUCACUGGUCUCACUGCAAACGCAUGAGCGCUUUCCCACCAGAAGUUAUUUUUCACAACAGUAACAUACGUUCCCUUUGGCAGCAGCGACCAGGCAGCCCUGGAGCACACCCCAGCUUGGCACACUGUCAGUCUGCCAAGAGCCCGAGCGUCGCUGUUACAGCCCCCUGUACCCCAGAGGCACCAAAGAAUGGCGCUGGGCUGUUAAAAUCCAACAGACUUGGCCACCAUAGCAGGCGCCUGGAGACUGGGGCUGAAACUGCAAUGAACGUUCCCACAGCACAGCCUUGCCAGAAGCACCUUGGGACACGAGGCCCCAUCACACAGGCAGACAACAGCCUCGACAGACAAGUCCUGGAGAAAUAAAGCCCCCAGUACCAAUCCUAUCGGAGGGAAGGCUUGCGCCUGAUCCAUUUCAGGGCCAGUAAUGUUUAACAGCGCCGGGCUCCAGGGCGAGGGUCGGCUCUAACCCCACAGCAGUGUGCGCAGCCGGUGGCUGUGGCACAGUGGGGAUGAGUGCCACCUUUGCACAGUGCCCAUCCUGCUACGCCACGGGAGCGGCAGCUGCAUGGCACAGGCAGCAGGAUAACAGCCAAAGUAAGUGGGAAACAGCAGGCAAAACCUGGAGGGAAUCAUCCGCUUUCCACUGGGGACAGAGAUUAAGACCUGUGUAUGUGGUGGUUUGUGGUUUCCACUCACAAUAAACUUCCCAAGAAGAACAAGUUUUCAGGAGUAUUCUAGAAGCAGCAGGAAUUUCCAAAUCAUUUGGCAUCUAAUUUCAAAGUACUGGCCCCAAACCAGUCUGCAACAGCAAAGGAUGUUGCAAUGCUGUUUCCCCAGCGGCUCCCUGUGCUGCGGGCAGUGCUUCGCUCCCCACUGCAGAUCGCCUGUUGAGGAAAGCAGCUCUUUGUCCAGAAACAACCCCAGGAAUACCAAGAUCCCAUAAAGGGCGAGGGCAAGGUGUCCACUGCAAACACAGGCUUUUGAUAGCGGACCGGACCGGUGCUGGGGACUAGUACAACAAAACCAACUCCGAAGAUCCGAGUAUGGUGAUGUUCAUCAAGAUGCCACGCAGGAAAGCUCAGUGCUGACGAGCCCUAGGAUGCCCCAGCAGAUGGCGGGCAGUGCUGUUGGAUGGUGUCUGAGCCCCGUGCUGAAGGCUGCAGCGUGUACACGACUUCUUCCCCGGACUAAGGACCGAGUGCUGCCAGAGCUGUGGAGUGUGACAAUGGUGUUUGUGUCAAGGCUAUCAAACGCCAUUAUCACACUAAAUAGCUACACGUAGGCAAGGCAUCGAUUCAGAAAAGAACAGGCAACAGGUUUUCCCACCAUGCUGAGGAAUAAAGAACCUCUUUACACCUAUGCCAGGACAAUUCUGCUGUUUCCUUUAUUAGCAAAGCACCACAAUCUGGGAAAUGGGAACUGUGCCACAAGCACUUCCAGGUUCCCAUCGUACAGCACACAAGUCAGCUUAAGGAAUCACUGUUACAAUGGUGUCACCAGAGUCGCUGGGGCUGUGAUUACCCCUGCAAAACGAAGCCAGCUGGGGAUUUGCCUUUGCCUGCCGAACAGACCAGGACAAGAGCACCAAAGCCAACUGGCUGAUGUAGCGAGACUCUGGCUCUUACCCUGGCACCAAAUUAAACAAUACGUUUAGAAUAUUAAUUGACUGAGACGCUCGUGACAGCUUUCAUACAGAAUGCUUCCCAAAAUUCUGAUAAAAGCUAUUACUUCUAACUUGAACCAUUACUUAUUCAGGUCCCCAGUGCUUUCAGCUUUGUUCCCUCACUUGUCACAACUGUAUGCAUGAUUUGAGCACCACACUCAAGUCUGUUGUUGCAUACUCUCAAGCUACUCAUUUGGGAAUGGUCACAAUUUCCCCACAGGAAUUCUUCUGAAAACUCUUGUAAAGAAUAGCGACCCUCUGUAGGAACCUGCAAAGGGCUAAUGAAAGCCAGGCACCAACAUUGCACUGAGAAGCCCAACUCCCAUCAAACAAUCCAAGUUAUAGGCACAGAGAAUAUUGUGCUCCAACUUGCAAUGAGAUUGGUAACCUUAUAUUCACCAGUGUGUUCCAAACCCCACCCUUCCUCAUGCUCAUAAGCAGGCAUGGAUACGGAAUAGGAAGGUUCCUACGGUUGGGAAGAGAGUUGCGGAAAGAGACCAGGUACUAAUGUGUGCAGUUCAUCAUUUAUAGAUUACACUCUGUUCCCAUGUGCAACUGAUUUUAUUGUAGUGUUUCCCAACAGACCAUCUUCAAUGAAUUACUUCACUUUAUUACCUAAACCUUGUUUUCUUCCGCGGAACAGUCAUUAGUAAUGCCUUCUGCUGAAAAUUAGUGGAAGAACCACGAUGGUGCAUAUUAAAAUUGAGUUCCAGUCUAGGCAGUUUUAGAAGAAUUCUCUGCACUUCACAUCAUAACAACACAAGUCUUCACAGAGCCCAGAACAGGCUGCCUCAACCCCCCACAAUCACUGCUUGCAUUCACAAUUUGUGAACUCUGUGCUGAGAAACUGCCCUGCGCCUCUGAGUGGGCAUCUGACACAGCGAGGAAAGGUGCCUAAACGGACGGUAAUCCAGCAGCCUCCUGAUAAACCAGUGCAGAACUGCAAAAGGAGGAAGAUAAAGCUUACUGCCUACAGAAGAAAGACUUUUGGGUGCUUUUUUUCCUCUUCCAACUCUGCUUUCCCAAAUGAACAUCAGUCGCAGUGGCAGGGAAGGGGAAGGAGCAGGGGCAAUGACAGAGGAGGCGGAGGGGAGGUGGGAGGCAAUGGUGGGUGUGGGACUGCAGGGACAAGGCAAGCAGUAUGGGAAUCCGAGACCUUGAGUACGGCACCAGUUCCACAGCCACUCAUUCACCUGCUCAAUUUCACUCCUUUUGCUCAGACCUCUUCUCUGACUGGAGAGAGGACAGAGACUACCACCUGUUCCCCCCCAUCCCUUUAACUUCGUCCUAAGGGA